rnacentral:tRNA from 1 species
GGCCCCGUAGUUCAAUGGAUAGAAUAGAAGUUUCCUAAACUUUAGAUGCAGGUUCGAUUCCUGCCGGGGCUACCA